rnacentral:lncRNA from 1 species
UAAUUCCGAAUUGUUCAAUAUGAAGGUUGUUAUAUUUAGUUGGAAUCAUAAUCCUAACAAUUGGUAUCAGAGCCACCUUCAUUUUUGGAUAAUUUGAAUGUUCAUAAGAUUCAUGUUAUGUUAGGAUUCAUGUUCAAGUUUUGUUAGAAUUUAUUUAUGAAAUUCAAGUACCAUGAAAUAGCAUGUUUCUUAUGAAUGUUGUGUUUUUGAUGAAAUUUGAUGUUUUAAUAUCUUGUUAAUCUUUACUUGAAUUAAAACAUUGUAUUA